UCACCUGUCUAUUUAUUUCCCAACUCAUCCCAACUUAUCACGUUAUGAAUCAGUGUUGGUAGAUAAACCUACUCCUCUCACCGGAGUCACAGAUUACAGCAAAGAAAAUGGUCAAACUACUCUCAUAUCUUCUUAUCUUUGUCUUCUUCUCCAUAAUUUUCUCACCUGCUAGAUCUUUCUCGUUUCCUCCACAGCCCCAUGUCCUCAAAUCCUUCAACCCCAAAAUCAUUCAGGCUGCGAAGAGCUGUCCGUACACAGUUACCAUCAAGACAAGCUGCUCCUCUUCAUCUUACACCAGAGACAAAAUCAGUCUCGCAUUUGGUGAUUCCUAUGGCAACGAGGUGUACGUGAAGAGGCUUGAUGAUCCAUCUUCAGGGACGUUUGAAAGUUGUUCCACAGAUACGUUCCAGAUAAAUGGACCAUGCGCAUACGAUAUUUGUUAUCUAUACCUGCUUAGGAGUGGAUCGGACGGCUGGAAACCCGAGAGUGUGAAGAUC
rnacentral:misc_RNA from 1 species